UGGGGAAUAUUGCACAAUGGGCGGAAGCCUGAUGCAGCAACGCCGCGUGCGGGAUGACGGCCUUCGGGUUGUAAACCGCUUUCGCCUGUGACGAAGCGUGAGUGACGGUAAUGGGUAAAGAAGCACCGGCUAACUACGCGCCAGCAGCCGCGGUGAUACGUAGGGUGCGAGCGUUGUCCGGAUUUAUUGGGCGUAAAGGGCUCGUAGGUGGUUGAUCGCGUCGGAAGUGUAAUCUUGGGGCUUAACCCUGAGCGUGCUUUCGAUACGGGUUGACUUGAGGAAGGUAGGGGAGAAUGGAAUUCCUGGUGGAGCGGUGGAAUGCGCAGAUAUCAGGAGGAACACCAGUGGCGAAGGCGGUUCUCUGGGCCUUUCCUGACGCUGAGGAGCGAAAGCGUGGGGAGCGAACAGGCUUAGAUACCCUGGUAGUCCACGCUGUAAACGGUGGGUACUAGGUGUGGGGUCCAUUCCACGGGUUCCGUGCCGUAGCUAACACUUUAAGUACCCCGCCUGGGGAGUACGGCCGCAAGGCUA
rnacentral:rRNA from 1 species